rnacentral:tRNA from 1 species
GGCGAUGUAUUUUAAGAAAAAUACCAUUUUGCAAAAGUGGAGUUACUUUUUAGUUAUCGCUU